rnacentral:rRNA from 1 species
UACGUAGGGCGCAAGCGUUAUCCGGAAUUACUGGGCGUAAAGCGCACGUAGGCGGCUUUGUAAGUUAGAGGUGAAAGCCUGGAGCUCAACUCCAGAAUUGCCUUUAAGACUGCAUCGCUUGAAUCCAGGAGAGGUGAGUGGAAUUCCGAGUGUAGAGGUGAAAUUCGUAGAUAUUCGGAAGAACACCAGUGGCGAAGGCGGCUCACUGGACUGGUAUUGACGCUGAGGUGGCGAAAAGCGUGGGGAGCAAACAGG